rnacentral:rRNA from 1 species
UACGUAGGCAGCAAGCGUUGUUCGGAGUUACUGGGCGUAAAGAGUGCGUAGGUGGUGCCCUAAGUCUGUUGUGAAAUCUCCCGGCUUAACUGGGAGGGUGCGGUGGAAACUGGGGUGCUUGAGUGUGGGAGAGGUAAGCGGAAUUCCUGGUGUAGCGGUGAAAUGCGUAGAUAUCGUAAGGAAGACCAGUGGCGAAGGCGGGUCUCUGGACAGUUCCUGACGCUGAGGAGCGAAAGUGUGGGGAGCGAACAGG